AUCCAAGGUGAUUCUGUCUCCAAAAGGCCUGCUCAUGCCUCUUUUCAAGAAAUUAGUAACUUGGAAUAAAAUCUGACGUGCCUUAGGUUGUUGGGGGGAAUGGGAUGUUUGUUUCCUUUGCCUUCCUUUGGCUGUCUACAUGC
ensembl:snoRNA